UUAUUGUACCCAAUUUCUCAUAUUCCAUCGUUUCAUCUCCAUUUUGUAAUCGAUCAAUCUUUUCUUCUCCAUCUACUCACGACCAAUUUUUCAGAAAACAGGGUAAAAUCAAAUUCAAUACUUCUUCAAUCCACCGGAUCUUCAAGAGAAAACUUUAAAAUCGUAAAAAGAGAGAAGCUCUGAUUAGUCGAAUCAAUUGGGGUUGUCUAUGGAGAUGAUGGUGCUAUCAAUCGGAUGAUUCAGUUUUGAUCCAUGAGUUAAGCGACCCAAUUUAUCAACUCAAUUGGAUUGUACAUGUGAAGACAUCAUAAUAUCCGUAAGAUAAGUAGUUGUUUCUUAAAAACGUGUUUGCUUGUUUUAUUUGGAAAAAUAUAUCCUUACUGAUUAAUUUCUUUUGCAAUUUAAUCCAGGAAAUCAAAUAAGAUGUACUUUCCUGUAACCCAGGUUAUUACAAUAGAGUGAAAGGACAUGAAGCCAUAAACAGACAUUGUUUUACGUUUUUUGGCGGAAGAGUUAUUGAUAAUAGAGGAUAAGUUUUAGCAGAGCAAAAAUUGAAGGUCUGUGAUAGGCACGGGAGCGGCAGCCAUUGGAGAUGGUUUGAAAGAAGAAAGGAGAAAGUAAAGAAGGUUUUUUUUCGGAAGCCCAACAUAGCCCAUUGGUAUGUGAGGGAAGGUCGAAACAGAAGUUCCUCAAUAAUUCCUAUCGGAUAUCCAAUUUUGCAUUUCCGGGGGCAUUUUCGGGCUAUGUGAAAGUUGUACUUCUCUUUUACUAAUAUAGGGAUUAGUUUAUUCUUAAUAUGUAUAUAUUUUCUAAAUAUUGCUUAAA